rnacentral:tRNA from 1 species
UGGCCUGUAGCUCAGGGGAUCAGAGCACGUGGCAUAGUACGAACCACGGGGGGUUCGAAUCCGACGCAAGGGU